rnacentral:rRNA from 1 species
GAUGAACGCUAGCGGCAGGCCUAAUACAUGCAAGUCGGACGGGAUUCAGGAGCUUGCUUCUGAUGAGAGUGGCGCACGGGUGCGUAACACGUAUGUAACCUACCUUUAUCAGGGGGAUAGCCUCUCGAAAGAGAGAUUAAGCCCGCAUAAAAUCACAGCACAGCAUUGUGUAAUGAUCAAAUAUUUAUAGGAUAAAGAUGGGCAUGCGGAACAUUAGCUAGAUGGCGGGGUAACGGCCCACCAUGGCGACGAUGUUUAGGGGAUCUGAGAGGAUGGCCCCCCACACUGGUACUGAGACACGGACCAGACUCCUACGGGAGGCAGCAGUAAGGAAUAUUGGUCAAUGGGCGGAAGCCUGAACCUGCCAUGCCGCGUGCAGGAAGACGGCCCUACGGGUUGUAAACUGCUUUUAUACGGGAAUAAACCCAGAUACGUGUAUCUGGCUGAAUGUACUGUAAGAAUAAGGAUCGGCUAACUCCGUG